AAACGUUGGAUAUAUGCUUUAU
rnacentral:snRNA from 1 species